ensembl:lncRNA
UUGUGAUUGUUUUAAGGGAUUGUCUCUACCUUUUUUUUCUUUUCUUUUUUUUUUACAUUCAUUUUCAUUGUCUGUUGUUUUCCAAUAUGCUGGAGUAUGUGUUCAAAGGGUGCUCUCUUUUUAAAGAGCAGGUUAUCAGUCUUCUCCUUGCCCUCUUGUUCACCAACAAGGAUUUCAUUAUUAACACUACAGAAUGACUCCAUCUGUAGCUCAGUCAUCUCAUGUGUUGCCUGUGCACUCUGCUCUCAUUUCACUGUUCUAUGAGCUGUUAGAUUUAGGUAUGAAAGGCAUGUCAGUUAAUGGAUGAAUGUCAUUAUUAAACAACGGGAGUCUUUAAAAAAAUAUUAAAGAACACUUUUGGUCUCGUAGUUGCCAUAAAGACACCUGUUGUGGCAUAGACUACUAGAGUAUAUAUGUGUCUAGGGCAGGGCUCUCCAACCCUGUUCCUGGAGAGCUAACCUCCGUGUAGGUUUCUGCUUCAACCCCAGUUGUAACCCGAUUCUGCUUAUCAACCAGCUAGGUGUGCUAGAUGAGGAUUGGAGGGAAAACCUACCGGAUGGUAGCUCUCCAGGAACAGGGUUGGAGAGCCCUGGUCUUGGACAUCUGACAUAGUUAGUGGUAGCUAAUUAGAUAGUAUAAAUACCAUGUCAUUAAUCAGUCAUAUGGAAUUUGAUUCAUUCUUCUCUCCUUUGAAUGACACACUGGACUUUAGAUGCUGAUUAGCGAAUAGUACCAGGCAGCAGCCCACGUUUCUACAAUACUACAAUAACGCUAUCUUAGUGGUUAUCUGUACAGUAGUCUUCUGGAAGUAGUUCAAAACGAGUCCAGGGAGAUAUUUGAUGAUGAAAUAAGUUUGGGGAAGUGCAUGAGACUGCGUCAAACCUUUUUUAUGUUAAUUUAUUUGUAUGUUUUGUUUAUGACGCAUUUGUUAUUUUAUAAAGAACGCAUUUCUUUGAAAGAGACAUUAUGUUGCUUUACCAAUGCAAGAACAACAUGUAAAAUGUAAUUAAAAAAAUAUGUAAAGCA